rnacentral:rRNA from 1 species
UCAGUAACACGUAGUCAACAUGCCCAGGGGACGUGAUACCUCGGGAAACUGAGGAUAAACCGCGAUAGGCCAUGAUUUCUGGAAUGGUUCAUGGCCGAAAUCUAUAUGGCCCCUGGAAUUGGACUGCGGCCGAUCAGGCUGUUGGUGAGGUAAUGGCCCACCAAACCUGUAACCGGUACGGGCUCUGAGAGGAGGAGCCCGGAGAUGGGCACUGAGACAAGGGCCCAGGCCCUAUGGGGCGCAGCAGGCGCGAAAUCUCUGCAAUAGGCGAAAGCUUUGACAGGGUUACUCUGAGUGAUUCCCGCUAAGGGGAUCUUUUUGGCACCUUUAAAAAUGGUGCAGAAUAAGGGGUGGGCAAAGUCUGGUGCCAGC